UUAGUGUGAGAGAGAUAUUCGCACGGGUAAACGGGCGAACCGGUUGUGUGACCUUGGAAGGUAUACAUGGGUUAAACAAGCGCAAAAUACAGUUUGCGUUUUAACCUAUGAUGGUGUGAGGGCAGAUGUCGAUUGAGACUGAUAUGGUAUCCAGUAACCAUAGUUUCCAGUCCUAUGUGGGCAAUACAAACACCAUUAUCACUAACUGAUGCAGUCCUGUGUGGGUAGCUGUUGGUGAGAUGUUAAGUUGACAACUAUUGGUGAGCUAUCCUGUGUGGGCAGCUAUAUGCAUCGUAAGAAGUCCUGUGUGGGCAGAUUUUUAUGUUAUGUCCUUUGUGGGCAACCAUAUCUCCAUAUGUCCAUAUGUCCUGUGUGGGCGGAAGUAACUUUAUACAGACCUUUGUGGUCAACCAUAUUUCCAUAUGUCCUGUGUGGACGGAUAUAACUGUAUACCGACCUUUGUGGUCAACCAUAUUUCCAUAUGUCCUGUGUGGGCGGAUAUAACUGUAUACAGACCUUUGUGGACAACUUUAUUCCCAUAUGUCCUGUGUGGGCAUAUUAUAUCUACAUUUAUGUGGCAACGUUGAGCAGAUACAUAAACUUGUCUUGACAACCUUUGUCUGGAGUGUAACAACUUUCUAUGUGGACACUAUACGUCAGACACUAUACGUCAGCCGUCAUUGGAAGUAUUUGUGGAUUGCAGACCACCUGCUUCAGAGUGUAUGUAUGUGUAUGUUAGUUGUGAGAAAGUUGUAUAUAUUGCUAUUAUUGCAUAUGUGACUGUUAAAUAUGUACAUUAUUGUAAUAAACUCAUGUAUAUAGUGUA